rnacentral:rRNA from 1 species
AGAGUUUGAUCCUGGCUCAGAACGAACGCUGGCGGCAGGCCUAACACAUGCAAGUCGAGGGAGAAGCUACUUUCGGGUAGUGGAGACCGGCAGACGGGUGAGUAACACGUGGGAACAUACCUAGUAGUGGGGGAUAACAGUUGGAAACGACUGCUAAUACCGCAUACGCCCUUCGGGGGAAAGAUUUAUCGCUAUUAGAUUGGCCCGCGUUAGAUUAGCUAGUUGGUAAGGUAACGGCUUACCAAGGCGACGAUCUAUAGCUGGUUUGAGAGGAUGAUCAGCCACACUGGGACUGAGACACGGCCCAGACUCCUACGGGAGGCAGCAGUGGGGAAUAUUGCGCAAUGGAGGAAACUCUGACGCAGCCAUGCCGCGUGAGUGAAGAAGGCCUUAGGGUUGUAAAGCUCUUUCAGACGUGAUGAUGAUGACAGUAACGUCAAAAGA